CGGGGGGAGGAAUUGACUCGA
rnacentral:miRNA from 1 species